GUUGAACGCUGGCGGCAGGCCUAACACAUGCAAGUCGAGCGGCGCGGCGGACGGGUGAGUAAUGCCUAGGAAUCUGCCUGGUAGUGAGGGAUACCGACCGGAAACGGGCGCUAUUGCCGCAUCCUAUCAGAUGAGCAUAGGUCGGAGUAGCUAGUUGGUGGGGUAAAGGCCUACCAAGGCGACGAUCCGUAGCUGGUCUGAGAGGAUGAUCAGUCACACUGGAACUGAGACACGGUCCAGACUCCUACGGGAGGCAGCAGUGGGGAAUAUUGGACAAUGGGCGAAAGCCUGAUCCAGCCAGGCCGCGUGUGUGAAGAAGGUCUUCGGAUUGUAAAGCACUGUAGGUUGGGAGGCGGUACCAAAAGAAUAAGCACCGGCUAACUUCGUGCCAGCAGCCGCGGUAAUAC
rnacentral:rRNA from 1 species